CAACAAGUAAAGCUACACUGAUUAGGGACCUGUCAUUGGUCAUCAAUGAGAAAGAUCAUUUGCUGGUAAUGGGACCUAGUGGGAGUGGUAAAACAUCACUGUUAAGAGCUUUAUCUGGUCUUUGGAAUGUUGGAAGAGGAAAAAUAACUUUCUAUCUUAAUGAUGGGGAUGAUCCUCAAUUGCCCACGUCUUCAGAACUGCCUGCUAAUGAAAUAAAUACUUCACAUGAAAAUGCUGGGGAACUUGAAGGGCCAAUUAAUAGAAACUCUAGAGGCAUAUUUUUUCUUCCUCAAAGACCAUAUAUGGUUUUGGGAACACUUCGUCAACAAUUGCUUUACCCUACAUGGGCUGACGAUAAAACUCCAAUGUCAGAUGGUACUAAACCAGUAGGUUCAGUGUCUUUCUUGAUGGGGAAAACAAACUCAGAAAAUGUGAGAGGAAAGCCCGGCAAGCCC
rnacentral:misc_RNA from 1 species